rnacentral:rRNA from 1 species
UACGUAGGCAGCAAGCGUUGUUCGGAAUUACUGGGCGUAAAGAGGGUGUAGGCGGUGCUCUAAGUUCGGUGUGAAAUCUCCCGGCUUAACUGGGAGGGUGCGCCGGAAACUGGAGUGCUCGAGCGUGGGAGAGGAAAGCGGAAUUCCUGGUGUAGCGGUGAAAUGCGUAGAUAUCAGGAGGAACACCUGCGGUGUAGACGGCUUUCUGGACCGUAACUGACGCUGAGACACGAAAGCGUGGGUAGCAAACAGG